rnacentral:rRNA from 1 species
UACGGAGGAUGCGAGCGUUAUCCGGAUUUAUUGGGUUUAAAGGGUGCGUAGGCGGGCUGUUAAGUCAGCGGUCAAAUGUCGGGGCUCAACCCCGGCCUGCCGUUGAAACUGGCGGCCUCGAGUGGGCGAGAAGUAUGCGGAAUGCGUGGUGUAGCGGUGAAAUGCAUAGAUAUCACGCAGAACCCCGAUUGCGAAGGCAGCCUUCCGGCGCCCUACUGACGCUGAGGCACGAAAGUGCGGGGAUCGAACAGG